rnacentral:piRNA from 1 species
ACAUGAAAGAACACAUACUGGAG